rnacentral:rRNA from 1 species
AACUCGGCCAUUUAGAGGAAGUACAAGUCGUAACAAGGUUUCCGUAGGUGAACCUGCGGAAGGAUCAUAGUAAUCGUCUUUGACGUUCUAUCUCCAUCGUCCUCGGGACGUUAAGGCGCUCUGGUCGAGGAUAAACGACCCCUCUGACCGAGGUUAAACGGUCGCUUGCCUGUGUUACCUCUUUGGAGGCACACGUUAAAGAUCGUUCCGCGUUGUGAGUCUAACACCAGUUGUAAACUUUCUACAACCGGCAGCGCUGGAUCCCUUGGCACGUCAUUCGAUGCAGACCGUUGCAAAUUGCGAUAAAGUGAUGUGAUGCGCAAGUCCACCACUUAUACGUGAAUCGUCGAGUUGUUGAACGCAUUGCACCGCGCCCUAAUCCGGCUGCGGUAUGCCCCUUUGAGCGUCAUUGUAUUCCUUCGGGAGUCCUUUUACAAGGACCCGAGUUCGGAGUCCUCGGUCCCCUGUGGAUCGUGUUCUCUCAGAUCCCUCGCACCGAUCGCCUGAUGGGUCCUCUAAUGCCUAAGCGUGGAGUUCCUUCAGAGUCCGACAUGUGCUUGACCGAGUCUUGAGCUCGUGUCACCAAGUCCGCCUACCAGCGGUACUACAACGCAUGACCUCAUUGGGGUAGGACAACCCGCUAGACUUAAGCAUAUUAAUCAGCGGAGGAAAAGAAACUAACCAGGAUUCCCUCAGUAACUGCGAGUGAAGCGGGAUCGGCUCAAUGUGUGAAUCUGGCGG